GGACUCUAGUUUUACUGAGCCUGGGGGAAGUGCGACGGACUCACCGAUCGCGAGUCAGUCGGACACCGGUCUCCAAAACCGGCGAUUCCAGGUUCGAGCCCUGGGUGCCCCG
rnacentral:tRNA from 1 species